AACGCGAAGAACCUUACCUGCCCUUGACAUCCACAGGAUUUUGCAGAGAUGCAGAAGUGCCGAAAGGAACUGUGAGACAGGUGCUGCAUGGCUGUCGUCAGCUCGUGUUGUGAGAUGUUGGGUUAAGUCCCGUAACGAGCGCAACCCUUGUCCCUGGUUACCAGCGCGUAGAGGCGGGGACUCCAGGGAGACUGCCGGUGAAGAACCGGAGGAAGGCGGGGACGACGUCAAGUCAUCAUGGCCUUUAUGGGCAGGGCUACACACGUGCUACAAUGGUGCGUACAGAGGGUCGCGAACCCGCGAGGGGGAGCUAAUCCUAUAAAGCGCAUCGUAGUCCGGACUGGAGUCUGCAACCCGACUCCACGAAGUCGGAAUCGCUAGUAAUCGCGAAUCAGAAUGUCGCGGUGAAUACGUUCCCGGGCCUUGUACACACCGCUCGCGA
rnacentral:rRNA from 1 species